GAUGAACGCUGGCGGCGUGCUUAACACAUGCAAGUCGAACGAAGCACUUUUAUCGAUUUCUUCGGAAUGAAGUUUUAGUGACUGAGUGGCGGACGGGUGAGUAACGCGUGGGUAACCUGCCUCACACAGGGGGAUAACAGUUGGAAACGGCUGCUAAUACCGCAUAAGCGCACAGUACCGCAUGGUACGGUGUGAAAAACUCCGGUGGUGUGAGAUGGACCCGCGUCUGAUUAGCUAGUUGGCAGGGCAACGGCCUACCAAGGCGACGAUCAGUAGCCGACCUGAGAGGGUGACCGGCCACAUUGGGACUGAGACACGGCCCAAACUCCUACGGGAGGCAGCAGUGGGGAAUAUUGCACAAUGGGGGAAACCCUGAUGCAGCGACGCCGCGUGAGCGAAGAAGUAUUUCGGUAUGUAAAGCUCUAUCAGCAGGGAAGAAGAAAUGACGGUACCUGACUAAGAAGCACCGGCUAAAUACGUGCCAGCCGCCGCCGUAA
rnacentral:rRNA from 1 species